CCUACGGGAGGCAGCAGUAGGGAAUAUUGCUCAAUGGGGGAAACCCUGAAGCAGCAACGCCGCGUGGAGGAUGAAGGUUUUCGGAUUGUAAACUCCUUUUGUUAGAGAAGAUAAUGACGGUAUCUAACGAAUCAGCACCGGCUAACUCCGUGCCAGCAGCCGCGGUAAUACGGAGGGUGCAAGCGUUACUCGGAAUCACUGGGCGUAAAGGGCGCGUAGGCGGGAUAGCAAGUCAGAUGUGAAAUCCUAUGGCUUAACCAUAGAACUGCAUUUGAAACUGUGAUUCUAGAGUAUGGGAGAGGUAGGUGGAAUUCUUGGUGUAGGGGUAAAAUCCGUAGAGAUCAAGAGGAAUACUCAUUGCGAAGGCGACCUGCUAGAACAUAACUGACGCUGAUGCGCGAAAGCGUGGGGAGCAAACAGGAUUAGAUACCCGAGUAGUC
rnacentral:rRNA from 1 species